rnacentral:misc_RNA from 1 species
AACGCACAUUGCGCCUUCUGGUAUUCCGGAAGGCAUGCUUGUUUGAGUAUCAGUAACAACCUCAGCCAAGCUCUCUUCGCUUCAGGCGCAGAAAGCAAAAGCUGGAUUUGAGCAAAGUCCCUUGGGAUCAGUCCGACGACCUUCGGGGAGCGGAAUUGAGCCGUGGGGGAUGCUUGAAAUACAGGUUCGGGCUGACCAAAUGUCCUGGGCUACAAGCAUUUCAUACUUGAUCCCGUUAAACGGAUCAUUUCCAUUGCUGCAGCCAACACAAACAGGAUCAAACGUGUCCAGUGUCCGACUGAUGCAGGAAGUUGGAACAACAGAGCGAUCUGUGGUUCUUUCUAACUCGAUCUCAAAUCAAGUAAGACUACCCGCUGAACUUAA